rnacentral:rRNA from 1 species
CCUACGGGAGGCAGCAGUGGGGAAUUGUUCACAAUGGGCGCAAGCCUGAUGACGCAACGCCGCGUGGGGGAUGAAGGUCUUCGGAUCGUAAACCCCUGUCGAGACGGCCGCGGUACCGUUAAAGGAAGCCACGGCUAACUCUGUGCCAGCAGCCGCGGUAAUACAGAGGUGGCAAGCGUUGUUCGGAAUUACUGGGCGUAAAGGGCGCGUAGGCGGCCAUCUAAGUCAGACGUGAAAUCCCCCGGCUCAACCUGGGAACUGCGUCUGAUACUGGAAGGCUAGAGUUUGGGAGAGGGAUGUAGAAUUCCAGGUGUAGCGGUGAAAUGCGUAGAUAUCUGGAGGAAUACCGGUGGCGAAGGCGGCAUCCUGGACCAAAUGACGCUGAGGCGCGAAAGCUAGGGGAGCAAACGGGAUUAGAUACCCCGGUAGUC